UCGUAAAACUGAGGCGCGAGGGCUGUCGCUGACUUUUCGUCGUGCACGCCCGAGUGCUCUCAAACAAUCCAUCUCACCCUGUGCACCACCGCGUGGGUCCCCCUUCUGGCUCGUCCCGAAGGGAGGCUUGCGUUUUCACACAAACUCGAUACAGUGUAGAAUGUCUCCUGCGAUAACACGCAAUUAAUA
rnacentral:misc_RNA from 1 species